rnacentral:rRNA from 1 species
ACACAUGCAAGUCGAACGAGAAUCUGUGGAUCGAGGAUUCGUCCAAGUGAAGCAGAGGACAGUGGCGGACGGGUGAGUAACGCGUGAGGAACCUGCCUUUCAGAGGGGGACAACAGUUGGAAACGACUGCUAAUACCGCAUGAUACGUUUUAGGGGCAUCCCUGAGACGUCAAAGAUUUAUCGCUGAAAGAUGGCCUCGCGUCUGAUUAGCUAGUUGGUGAGGUAACGGCCCACCAAGGCGACGAUCAGUAGCCGGACUGAGAGGUUGACCGGCCACAUUGGGACUGAGAUACGGCCCAGACUCCUACGGGAGGCAGCAGUGGGGAAUAUUGGGCAAUGGGCGCAAGCCUGACCCAGCAACGCCGCGUGAAGGAAGAAGGCUUUCGGGUUGUAAACUUCUUUUAAGAGGGAAGAGCAGAAGACUGUACCUCUAGAAUAAGCCACGGCUAACUACGUGCCAGCAGCCGCGGUAAUACGUAGGUGGCAAGCGUUGUCCGGAUUUACUGGGUGUAAAGGGCGUGCAGCCGGGAAUGCAAGUCAGAUGUGAAAUCCAUGGGCUUAACCCAUGAACUGCAUUUGAAACUGUAUUUCUUGAGUACUGGAGAGGCAAUCGGAAUUCCUAGUGUAGCGGUGAAAUGCGUAGAUAUUAGGAGGAACACCAGUGGCGAAGGCGGAUUGCUGGACAGCAACUGACGGUGAGGCGCGAAGGUGUGGGG